AUUGAACGCUGGCGGCAGGCUUAACACAUGCAAGUCGAGCGAGCGGCGGACGGGUGAGUAAUGUAUGGGGACUGCCCGAUCGAGGGGGAUAACUACUGGAAACGGUAGCUAAUACCGCAUACUAUCGGAUAACCCAUAUGGGAUGAGCUAGUAGGGGGGGUAAUGGAUCACCUAGGCGACGAUCCCUAGCUGGUGUGAGAGGAUGAGCAGCGACAAUGGGACUGAGACACGGCCCAGACGCCUACGGAGGCAGCAGUGGGGAAUGGUGGACAAUGGGGGCAAACCUGAUGCAGCGAUGCCGCGGGUAGUAGGAAGGCCCUAGGGUGGUAAAGUACGUUUAGUCGUGAGGCGGUACCGGCAGAAGAAGCACCGGCUAACUACGUGCCAGCAGCCGCGGUAAUUC
rnacentral:rRNA from 1 species